rnacentral:lncRNA from 1 species
GGGCGCUGUCUUCCUGCGGAUAGUUGUUCCAGUGUACUAGCACUAUAAAGUCCUGCAACUACGGUAGGCUAGCACAAAGCAGUCAAAAUUUACAUACACCCUUUGGUUUUAUAUUUAUUUUAUUUUAUUUUAUUUUACCUAUCAUUUUUUUUUAGUACAUACAAAACACCUCACUAAUUAUUUUUGCUAAACUCACAUACACAAAUUUAGGCCUAUUUCGGUUUAUACAAAAUAUUUGGCAUAUAAAUUCACAUACACAAUUUGGCAUAUCAAAAUUAUCCGCUCUUUACUUGGCUGCUGGUGUACCAGGACAACGUUGCUGCCGUUCACCGCUGUUUGCUUGGCCUAGCUUUCCUCCUGUUCCUACUUCUGGUGGCACCAUGUUUAUUAAAUAUUUAUUAACUUAUGUUUUAUUUAUUUUUAUUUUUUAUUAAACAAAAUUAUCUUUAUAUUAUUUUAUUAUAUUUAUUUUUAUAUUCUUUUCUUUUCUUUAUUUAAUUACUUAUUCAUAAAUUUUUAUUCAUUUAUUUAUUCAUAAAUUUUUAUUCAUUUAUUUAUUCAAAUUUUUGUUUAUUUUAAAUUUUU